UAUUGGUCAAUGGGCGCAGGCCUGAACCAGCCAAGUCGCGUGAGGGAAGACUGCCCUAUGGGUUGUAAACCUCUUUUAUAAGGGAAGAAUAAUGACUACGUGUAGUCAGAUGCCCGUACCUUAUGAAUAAGCAUCGGAUAACUCCGUGCCAGCAGCCGCGGUAAUACGGAGGAUGCGCGCGUUAUCCGGAUUUAUUGGGUUUAAAGGGUGAGUAGGCGGUAUUUUAAGUUAGUGGUAAAACGUCGGGGCUUCACCUUGAUUGGCCAUUAAAACUGGAGUACUAGAGUACAGACGAGGUAGGCGGAAUAAGUUAAGUAGCGGUGAAAUGCUUAGAUAUAACUUAGAACCCCGAUAGCGAAGGCAGCUUACCAGACUGUUACUGACGCUGAAGCACGAGAGCGUGGGUAGCGAACAGGA
rnacentral:rRNA from 1 species